rnacentral:lncRNA from 1 species
UUUUUUAGCUCACCUGGCCCAAAGGGCCAAGUGAGCUUUUCCCAUCACUUGGCGUCCGUCGUCGUCGUCCGUCGUCGUUAACUUUUACAAAAAUCUUCUCCUCUGAAACUACUGGGCCAAAGUUAACCAAACUUGGCCACAAUCAUCAUUGGGGUAUCUAGUUUAAAAAAUGUGUGGCGUGACCCCGCCAACCAACCAAGAUGGCUGCCAUGGCUAAAAAUAGAACAUAGGGGUAAAAUGCAGUUUUUGGCUUAUAACUCAAAAACCAAAGCAUUUAGAGCAAAUCUGACAUGGG